AGAUUGAACGCUGGCGGCAUGCCUAACACAUGCAAGUCGAACGGGAGUAGCAAUACUCUAGUGGCGGACGGGUGAGGAAUACGUAGGAAUUUGCCCUUAAGUGGGGGAUAACCCGGGGAAACCCGGAUUAAUACCGCAUGACCUCGAAAGAGCAAAGUGGGGGAUCGCAAGACCUCACGCUUUUGGAGAAGCCUACGUCGGAUUAGCUAGUUGGUGAGGUAAUGGCUCACCAAGGCGACGAUCCGUAACUGGUCUGAGAGGAUGAUCAGUCACACCGGAACUGAGACACGGUCCGGACUCCUACGGGAGCAGCAGGUGGGGAAUAGUUGGACAAGUGGG
rnacentral:rRNA from 1 species